CGGGACACGUGGUAUCCUGUCUGAAUAUGGGGGGACCAUCCUCCAAGGCUAAAUACUCCUGACUGACCGAUAGUGAACCAGUACCGUGAGGGAAAGGCGAAAAGAACCCCGGCGAGGGGAGUGAAAAAGAACCUGAAACCGUGUACGUACAAGCAGUGGGAGCACGCUUAGGCGUGUGACUGCGUACCUUUUGUAUAAUGGGUCAGCGACUUAUAUUCUGUAGCAAGGUUAACCGAAUAGGGGAGCCGAAGGGAAACCGAGUCUUAACUGGGCGUUAAGUUGCAGGGUAUAGACCCGAAACCCGGUGAUCUAGCCAUGGGCAGGUUGAAGGUUGGGUAACACUAACUGGAGGACCGAACCGACUAAUGUUGAAAAAUUAGCGGAUGACUUGUGGCUGGGGGUGAAAGGCCAAUCAAACCGGGAGAUAGCUGGUUCUCCCCGAAAGCUAUUUAGGUAGCGCCUCGUGAAUUCAUCUCCGGGGGUAGAGCACUGUUUCGGCAAGGGGGUCAUCCCGACUUACCAACCCGAUGCAAACUGCGAAUACCGGAGAAUGUUAUCACGGGAGACACACGGCGGGUGCUAACGUCCGUCGUGAAGAGGGAAACAACCCAGACCGCCAGCUAAGGUCCCAAAGUCAUGGUUAAGUGGGAAACGAUGUGGGAAGGCCCAGACAGCCAGGAUGUUGGCUUAGAAGCAGCCAUCAUUUAAAGAAAGCGUAAUAGCUCACUGGUCGAGUCGGCCUGCGCGGAAGAUGUAACGGGGCUAAACCAUGCACCGAAGCUGCGGCAGCGACGCUGAUGCGUUGUUGGGUAGGGGAGCGUUCUGUAAGCCUGUGAAGGUGUGCUGUGAGGCAUGCUGGAGGUAUCAGAAGUGCGAAUGCUGACAUAAGUAACGAUAAAGCGGGUGAAAAGCCCGCUCGCCGGAAGACCAAGGGUUCCUGUCCAACGUUAAUCGGGGCAGGGUGAGUCGACCCCUAAGGCGAGGCCGAAAGGCGUAGUCGAUGGGAAACAGGUUAAUAUUCCUGUACUUGGUGUUACUGCGAAGGGGGGACGGAGAAGGCUAUGUUGGCCGGGCGACGGUUGUCCCGGUUUAAGCGUGUAGGCUGGUUUUCCAGGCAAAUCCGGAAAAUCAAGGCUGAGGCGUGAUGACGAGGCACUACGGUGCUGAAGCAACAAAUGCCCUGCUUCCAGGAAAAGCCUCUAAGCAUCAGGUAACAUCAAAUCGUACCCCAAACCGACACAGGUGGUCAGGUAGAGAAUACCAAGGCGCUUGAGAGAACUCGGGUGAAGGAACUAGGCAAAAUGGUGCCGUAACUUCGGGAGAAGGCACGCUGAUAUGUAGGUGAAGCGACUUGCUCGUGGAGCUGAAAUCAGUCGAAGAUACCAGCUGGCUGCAACUGUUUAUUAAAAACACAGCACUGUGCAAACACGAAAGUGGACGUAUACGGUGUGACGCC
rnacentral:rRNA from 1 species